CAGUCGCCGCGGUAACACGAAGGGGGCUAGCGUUGCUCGGAAUUACUGGGCGUAAAGGGAGCGUAGGCGGACAUUUAAGUCAGGGGUGAAAUCCCGGGGCUCAACCUCGGAAUUGCCUUUGAUACUGGGUGUCUUGAGUAUGAGAGAGGUAUGUGGAACUCCGAGUGUAGAGGUGAAAUUCGUAGAUAUUCGGAAGAACACCAGUGGCGAAGGCGACAUACUGGCUCAUUACUGACGCUGAGGCUCGAAAGCGUGGGGAGCAAGCAGGAUUAGAUACCCCCGUAGUCCCUGUCUCUUAUAC
rnacentral:rRNA from 1 species